AACGAACGCUGGCGGCAGGCUUAACACAUGCAAGUCGAACGCACCGCAAGGUGAGUGGCGCACGGGUGAGUAACGCGUGGGAAUGUACCCUUUAGUACGGAAUAGCUCCGGGAAACUGGAAUUAAUACCGAAUACGCCCUUCGGGGGAAAGAUUUAUCGCUAAAGGAUCAGCCCGCGUGAGAUUAGGUAGUUGGUGGGGUAAUGGCCUACCAAGCCUACGAUCUCUAGCUGGUCUGAGAGGAUGAUCAGCCACACUGGAACUGAGACACGGUCCAGACUCCUACGGGAGGCAGCAGUGGGGAAUAUUGGACAAUGGGGGAAACCCUGAUCCAGCCAUGCCGCGUGAAUGAUGAAGGCCUUAGGGUUGUAAAGUUCUUUUACCGAUGAAGAUAAUGACGGUAGUCGGAGAAAAAGCCCCGGCUAACUUCGUGCCAGCCGCCGCGGUAA
rnacentral:rRNA from 1 species